rnacentral:rRNA from 1 species
AUGUGAUGUACCUAGUAAUAUAAAGAAUCUUAUAUUUAUUACCUAGUAAUAAAUAUGAGAUUAAAUAAUUAAUCUAUAUGAGAUUAACUAAGUUAAUUAAAAUUCUAAGUAGAUGUUUGAUUAUGACAAUAUCUGUAUAGGUCUUGACCAAGUCACGUGCCAGCAGUCGCGGUAAUACGUGGAAGACAAGUGUUAUUCAUCUUUAUUGGGUUUAAAGGGUACCUAGACUGUUAAUUAAGCAAAAAGUUGUACUAAUUAACUAGAGUUUAAUGUAAGAAGGAUUGAGUACAGUGUGAGUAGAGAUAAAAUUCUUAGAGACCACUUGGAACUGGUAAGAGCGAAGGCUACCUUCAAUGUAAAAACUGACGUUAAGGGACGAAGGCUUGUAUUAAAUAAUAGGAUUAGAUACCCUAGUAUUUUUAGCAGAAAAUGAUGAGUGUCAUAUACAAGAUAUUUAUUUUGUGUAUAAAUGAAAGUGUAAGCACUCCACCUCAAGAGUAACGUGGCAACAUGGGAACUGAAAUCAUUAGACCGUUUCUGAAACUCGUAGUGAAGUAUGUUGUUUAAUUUGAUGGUACACAAAUAACCUUACCACAAUUUGAAUUACUUUUACAAAAAAAAUAGUAACAAGCGUUGCACGGCUGU